rnacentral:lncRNA from 1 species
GUCGUCUUUCUCUCUCCCCGUUCCGUACGCGUUUCUCUCGGCCUGCCUCGUCGCUCUCUCUCCACUCGCUGUUGCUCCGCAGGUACCGAUCCAUAUGCAAACGUCUAUGCAUGUAGAUGGAUAGAGAAACACUCAAAAAUGUCGCCCUAGAAGAGCUUUACGGGUUAUGUGGAAGGUCGUCCACAAGGCGAUUGCCCCGACCGACAUCGACCGCUCUUGUCGCGGCGGCUCUGAGCGGAAAUCGACUCGUGCGACUGGAGACCAGCGUCAGAUUCUCUCGCUUUUGAACGUUUUCGGCCCUCACUAGACAAAACUCGACAGAAGCGUUUGAGGAUGUCGUCAGGAUCCUCAAGUCCAUCGUUUCAAAAUGGAAAACGUGGAAGGACCUCUGUAUCGAUGGCGUGCCCGUCGUCUUGUUUCCUCACGGGACGGCUACAGAUAGACUCGUUGUGCGGGCAUUUCGCAGAGCGUGGUGAAAGGCCGGAAGGAGAACCGACAUGGGCUUUCUUUGAGAAUACGCACAUGCGCUAGGGAGCAGAGACGUUCGGAGUAGUCGGUGGUUAUACCCCUUCCCAAAUGCUUUUUUUCGGCAGCGGACCAGCAGGAAGGCCCGCCUAUCGUCGCGAGUGCGUCGCUACACCCUCCUUUGUCCCUCCGGAAAGCGAAACGGAGCCGGAAACUGGGAAAAGAGAGUCGCGCAGCGUGUGCCUUGUAUCCACUGUACACUUGCGCCACAGCGACGCAUGCUGGCGCUACCCCGCGCCGGUUCUCUGCAGAAAUAAUGCACAUCCACAUGCAAGCCCGAGCGCAGAUUAGCCUGUAUUCGUAGAAUAUGCUCCUGGUCAACGCUCGAUGACUGCGGUGCGAUAUUCUACGGGAAAAGCAGCAAAAAGGCGGGCGACCCCCCCCCCUGGAUUUCAAUAUUCCGCGACAUUAACGUUCCUCCACAUCGGUUCUGUUCUAGGCGUAGUACGCGGAUUACUGUUAUCACACGUACCGACAGCGAGAAAAAACGACUACUCAAAUGCUAGUGUAAUCAGGACCUUCGUACUGGGAGUGAUAAUGUCUGAGACACGAAUAUUUUUCAGCUUUUUCUGGUGAAAAAGAUUUUGUUCGAG